rnacentral:lncRNA from 1 species
AAUGGCCAUAUACUCGUCAAAUAAAAAGUUUCGGUCGAAAUCACAUUCUUCCACCGUUGGGAAUUGAAAAAACAUUAAUUAUGCAAAGUUAAUCAAUCCAAAAGCAACGCGAGCGUGCUGCAAGGUAUUUGUUUCGUAAAACGUUUUGAUUACGAAUGUUCUCUGUUCAGUGGUUAAUUAACCAUGUUUAAUGCAAUAAUCACGUUUUUAUUGUCUCACUAAGACGAAGGUUGACGAGUUGAGCUCAUUAACAU